GAUGAAGAACGUAGCGCAAUGCGAUAAGUAAUGUGAAUUGCAGAAUUCAGUGAAUCAUCGAAUCUUUGAACGCACAUUGCGCCCGCCAGUAUUCUGGCGGGCAUGCCUGUUCGAGCGUCAUUUCAACCAUCAAGCCCCAGGCUUGUGUUGGGGACCUGCGGCUGCCGCAGGCCCUGAAAACCAGUGGCGGGCUCGCUGUCACACCGGGCGUAGUAGAUUUUAUCUCGCUCAGGGCGUGCUGCGGGUUCCGGCCGUUAAAAAGCCUUUUUUACCCAAGGUUGACCUCGGAUCAGGUAGGAAGACCCGCUGAACUUAAGCAUAUCAAUAAGCGGAGGA
rnacentral:misc_RNA from 1 species